GUCCACGCCGUAAACGAUGUCAACUAGUUGUUCGUCUCAUAAACGAGGUGAGUAACGCAGCUAACGCACUAAGUUGACCGCCUGGGAGUACGGCCGCAAGGUUAAACUCAAAUGAAUUGACGGGGCCCGCACAAGCGGUGGAGCAUGUGGUUUAAUUCGAUGCAACGCGAAGAACCUUACCAUCCCUUGACAUCCAGUGAAUCUUUUAGAGAUAGAAGAGUGCCUUCGGGAACACUGAGACAGGUGCUGCAUGGCUGUCGU
rnacentral:rRNA from 1 species